AAUUAUAUGGAGAGUUUGAUCCUGGCUCAGGAUGAACGCUGGCGGCGUGCCUAAUACAUGCAAGUCGAACGAAGCAUCUUCGGAUGCUUAGUGGCGAACGGGUGAGUAACACGUAGAUAACCUACCUUUAACUCGAGGAUAACUCCGGGAAACUGGAGCUAAUACUGGAUAGGAUGUGUGCAUGAAAAAAACACAUUUAAAGAUUUAUCGGUUUAAGAGGGGUCUGCGGCGCAUUAGUUAGUUGGUGGGGUAAAAGCCUACCAAGACGAUGAUGUUUAGCCGGGCCGAGAGGCUGAACGGCCACACUGGGACUGAGAUACGGCCCAGACUCCUACGGGAGGCAGCAGUAAGGAAUUUUCCACAAUGAGCGAAAGCUUGAUGGAGCGACACAGCGUGCACGAUGAAGUUCUUCGGAAUGUAAAGUUCUUUUAUAUGGGAAGAAAAAUUAAAAAUUGACGGUACCAUAUGAAUAAGCCCCGGCUAACUAUGUGCCAGCAGCCGCGGUAAUACAUAGGGGGCGAGCGUUAUCCGGAUUUACUGGGCGUAAAGGGUGCGUAGGUGGUUAUAAAAGUUUGUGGUGUAAGUGCAGUGCUUAACGCUGUGAGGCUAUGAAAACUAUAUAACUAGAGUAUGGUAGAGGGUGGUGGAAUUUCCUGUGUAGCGGUGAAAUGCGUAGAUAUAGGAAGGAACACCAGUGGCGAAGGCGGCUACCUGGACCGAUACUGACACUGAGGCGCGAAAGCGUGGGGAGCAAACAGGAUUAGAUACCCUGGUAGUCCACGCCGUAAACGAUGAUCAUUAGUUGGUGGAAAAAUUUCACUGACGCAGCUAACGCAUUAAAUGAUCCGCCUGAGUAGUAUGCUCGCAAGAGUGAAACUUAAAGGAAUUGACGGGAACCCGCACAAGCGGUGGAGCAUGUGGUUUAAUUUGAAGAUACGCGUAGAACCUUACCCACUCUUGACAUCUUCUGCAAAGCUAUAGAGAUAUAGUGGAGGUUAACAGAAUGACAGAUGGUGCAUGGUUGUCGUCAGCUCGUGUCGUGAGAUGUUAGGUUAAGUCCUGCAACGAGCGCAACCCUUUUCUUUAGUUACUAAUAUUAAGUUAAGGACUCUAGAGAUACUGCCUGGGUAACCAGGAGGAAGGUGGGGACGACGUCAAAUCAUCAUGCCUCUUACGAGUGGGGCAACACACGUGCUACAAUGGUCGGUACAAAGAGAAGCAAUAUGGUGACAUGGAGCAAAUCUCAAAAAACCGAUCUCAGUUCGGAUUGAAGUCUGCAACUCGACUUCAUGAAGUCGGAAUCGCUAGUAAUCGUAGAUCAGCUACGCUACGGUGAAUACGUUCUCGGGUUUUGUACACACCGCCCGUCGCACCAUGGGAGUUGGUAAUACCCAAAGUCGGUGAGCUAACCCGAAAGGGAGGGAGCCGUCUAAGGUAGGACCCAUGAUUGGGGUUAAGUCGUAACAAGGUAUCCCUACGGGAACGUGGGGAUGGAUCACCUCCUUUCUAAGGAG
rnacentral:rRNA from 1 species